UUCAGUGACGAUAACUGCUGCAUAGGAAGUGCCGUCUUAUGCGAAACUGACGAUUGAAGCUGUUCUGAGA